ncrna:unclassified sequences SAM-I/IV variant riboswitch
CGACGACAUCAAGAGCGACCCUCACGGGUCCGGCAACCGGGAUCGCCACUCGGUGCCAUCCCGCCUCGCGGCGGGGAUGUGGUCCCGCACUCGCGGGACAAGGAGGUGACAUGGCGC